rnacentral:rRNA from 1 species
AACGAACGUUAGCGGUGUGGAUUAGGCAUGCAAGUCGCGCGCGAAAACCUUCGGGUGAGUAAAGCGGCGAAAGGGUGAGUAACACGUAACCAACCUACCCCCCAGAUCGGGAUAACCGUGGGAAACUGCGGGUAAAACCGAAUGGUCCCUUCGGGAGGCAUCUCCUGAUGAGUAAAUGGCGGCUUCGGCCGCCGCUGGGGGAGGGGGUUGCGGCCUAUCAGCUUGUUGGUGAGGUAACGGCUCACCAAGGCGAUGACGGGUAGCCGGUCUGAGAGGAUGGUCGGUCACACUGGGACUGAGACACUGCCCAGACUCCUACGGGAGGCUGCAGUCGAGAAUCUUCCGCAAUGGGCGAAAGCCUGACGGAGCGACACCGCGUGCAGGAUGAAGGCCUUAGGGUUGUAAACUGCUGUCACGCUAUAGGAAUGGCGCGCCGUUAAUAUCUGCGCGU